AGUGAACGCUGGCGGUAGGCCUAACACAUGCAAGUCGAACGGCAGCACAGUAAGAGCUUGCUCUUACGGGUGGCGAGUGGCGGACGGGUGAGGAAUACAUCGGAAUCUACUUUUUCGUUGGGGAUAACGUAGGGAAACUUACGCUAAUACCGCAUACGACCUACGUGUGACAGCAUGGGAUCUUCGGACCUUGCGCGAUUGAAUGAGCCGAUGUCGGAUUAGCUCGUUGGCGGGGUAAAGGCCCACCAAGGCGACGAUCCGUAGCUGGUCUGAGAGGAUGAUCAGCCACAAUGGAACUGAGACACGGUGCAGACGCCUACGGGAGGCAGCAGUGGGGAAUAUUGGACAAUGGGGGCAAGAAUGAUGCAGCCAUACCGCGUGGGGGAAGAAGGCCUUCGGGUUGUAAAGACCUUUUGUUGGGAAAGAAAAGCAGCAGGUUAAUACCCCGCUGUUCUGACGGUACCCAAAGAAUAAGCACCGGCUAACUUCGUG
rnacentral:rRNA from 1 species